rnacentral:lncRNA from 1 species
CCCCCCCCACCUCCUGCGCCGCCCGUGGUCGAGGAGCCGACAAUCCCCUUUGCACCGACGGUCAAGCUCAACGUGUUCAAUGAAAUUUCCCAAGGGUUUGACAAUUAGCUUUUCUUUUUUUGUUUAUCAAUUCACACACAUGGAGAUUGUUCAAUGCAAUUGGGACGUGAUGUAUAACACUUUGUUUGUAUGUAGUAUCGAUGAUGACACUUCUGCAAAAGUUCUAAUGGUUGGUCACAGGAGUUUAUAUCUCAAGAAACACUCUCUCAAGAAUAUGAGACACAAGUUGAGGAG